UGGAGGCAGCAGUGGGGAAUAUUGCGCAAUGGGCGAAAGCCUGACGCAGCCAGCCCGCGUGUGUGAUGAAGGCCUUCGGGUCGUAAAGCACUGUCGUAGGGGAAGAAUCAAUGACGGUACCCUACAAGAAAGCACCGGCUAACCCCGUGCCAGCAGCCGCGGUAAUACGGGGGGUGCAAGCGUUGCUCGGGAUCACUGGGCGUAAAGCGUCCGCAGGUGGGUGUGUGUGUCGGAUGUGAAAGCCCAGGGCUCAACCCUGGAACUGCAUUCGAAACUGCACAUCUUGAGUACGGGAGAGGGAAGCAGAAUUCCUGGUGUAGAGGUGAAAUUCGUAGAUAUCAGGAGGAAUACCUGUGGCGAAAGCGGCUUCCUGGUCCGAUACUGACACUCAUGGACGAAAGCGCGGGGAGCAAACAGGAUUAGAUACCCGUGUAGUCU
rnacentral:rRNA from 1 species